rnacentral:rRNA from 1 species
UACGAAGGGGGCUAGCGUUAAUCGGAAUUACUGGGCGUAAAGCGUGCGUAGACGGUUAUUUAAGUCAGGUGUGAAAGCCCCGGGCUCAACCUGGGAAUUGCAUUUGAGACUGAAUAGCUAGGGUGCGGAAGAGGGAAGCGGAAUUUCCGGUGUAGCGGUGAAAUGCGUAGAUAUCGGAAGGAACACCAGUGGCGAAAGCGGCUUCCUGGUCCAGCACCGACGUCAGGCACGAAAGCGUGGGGAGCAAACAGG